UACGUAGGGUGCAAGCGUUGUCCGGAAUUAUUGGGCGUAAAGAGCUCGUAGGCGGUUUGUCGCGUCUGCUGUGAAAACCCGAGGCUCAACCUCGGGCCUGCAGUCGAUACGGGCAGACUAGAGUUCGGUAGGGGAGACUGGAAUUCCUGGUGUAGCGGUGAAAUGCGCAGAUAUCAGGAGGAACACCGGUGGCGAAGGCGGGUCUCUGGGCCGAAACUGACGCUGAGGAGCGAAAGCGUGGGGAGCGAACAGG
rnacentral:rRNA from 1 species